AUUUUGUUUUUCCAUUUUCAAGUAAAGAUCAUUUUACUUGACCACAAAUGUAAAUCUAUCUUGGAGUGCCACAGGAGGGCAGCAAGACUUCACAUCUGAUGGACCCCAUAGCAGCCAUUGAGUCACUGUAGUUGAUUGCAUCUGAUAUGUAAUUUGUGAGCUUUUAUUCAGCCCUGUUACAAUAUCAGUGAAUAAUGUAGAUUUCUGCACCAAACUUAUCAAAACACUUAACUAGGUCUUAAAUUGGUCAUUUAAGGUGUAAUGUGAUCUGACCUGUGUGAGAGAGUGUGGAAGGUGGGUGUAAUGUUGACCUGGCGCGCGCACACCAUCACACUCAAGAUAGUCACUAGUGUAUUGUCCUUGGGUAACCAUUGAAUGUUUUGUUGUAGAUAGCUGGUAGGCAAAGUUUUACGAGGACAAUGGAGCUUUACUUUUUAGGUUUUCUGCCAAGAUCAUCCCAAAGGAAAAUGCAUGUGUGGUGUUUUCAUCUACAGAAAAACAAUGCAUGAUGCGCAAUCACCACCCACUUGGGUACCAGAAACAAUACAGAGGACAUCCGCGCGCCACACCUUCCUACUGUUUAUCCAUGAGCAAAAGAUACACCGCCGACCCUCCCCACCGCAAAGCAGCUGAAGGCCUGUCAUCGGAACCUCAUAGCAUCUGGCUCGGAGGAUCAUCGUCCCUUCCCAAACUAUUUUAAUAAACGUUCAUACUUUAAUUUAGUCUUUGUUGUUCAUUCAGUUAGCCUGUCAUUGUUUGAACUGAUGUUAACAUGUAGAGGUGGUUAUUGGAUACUGUCUGCUUAGUAGAGGUGAGGGGAAUUAUGUGUUAAGUAGGUCAUAAUUUACAUGUAGUAAAUGUUAUUCUAGUAUUUGUAAGGUGGUAACUGUAUAAUUGAUGCGUGUACAUAGCUCUGAAAGGAAUGCUGUGAAGUUGUAAGACCUAACCAGGCCAG
ensembl:lncRNA